UGCAUCGGUCGGGGAUCGAACCCAGGCCGCCAGCGUGGCAGGCGAGCAUUCUACCACUGAACCACCGAUGC
rnacentral:tRNA from 1 species